GGACACUGCAGAGGCCCAGCCGCGUCCGCCUCGGUUUUGUAGACCAGAGGGCCCCUCUCAUCCAGCACCUGUGUGGCCUUGUUGGUGUACCCUCAUGAAGGAAAUCACAUCCCUGUGUGACCCCGCCCCUGUGGCGUCCUUGGCUCUGAUCCGGUGUCUGGCUGAUGUCAGUGACCUGGCUUAUGAGUGGUGGAGAAAUUGAAAGUGCCAUGGGUCUCAGGAUCAAGACUUGUGUGAGAUAAGAAAGAAGAGGCCUCAGGACUUGGGGUGCAUUCCUAUCUUUGACCAGAGGUUCAGAGUAUCAGGACAGAGAGAAGUCACAGAGAGAGCAGAUUUUCCAGAACUGGGGAAGAUGAUGAAGUCACAGGUAAGUUGUUUGUCCUCCAGUCGUUUUACCUGUGGGUGGAUGAGGCUUCCAGGCAUUUCUUUUUUUUUAAAUUUUUUUAUUUUUAAACUUUACAAUAUUGUAUUGGUUUGCCAAAUAUUGAAAUGAAUCCUCCACAGGUAUACAUGUGUUCCCCAUCCUGAACCCUCCUCCCUCCUCCCUCCCCAUACCAUCCCUCUGGGUCGUCCCAGUGCACCAGCCCCAA
ensembl:lncRNA